AUUUGCAAAUGAGGGAAGAAAACCUGAUAUCCUAGUGCCAUAAGGUUACUGCUGCAUUUUGUGAACGAGGGAUAGAGGGAAGGGAAACUGGCAACUUGGUGGUAGAAAAGCCUGCUGAUGCAUUUGCGAGUCAGAGAUGUGAACGUGGUUUCCCAGUGCCAAAUGGGUUUGUUACUGAUUUGCAAUAAUAGAUGUGUCAUGGUCUGGGUGGGUACCUGUAGGUUUCCAAAAGCGGCCCUCCUGGAGAUCGAUUGCUCCUUCCUGGCUGACCACCUGUGAGCAAUUAUUCCUGCAGCAUAUAAGACCUGCGCACUCAAUCAGUCAUCGCCUGAGUAUCUACUUUCCCAUAGUUCGCUCCUGGAGUGGGGUUCUCACCUCAGUCAUCCCUUCUUUUCUGGACCCAGGCCACCAGCUGCUGGUACUGCAUUACUAACUAGCCCGCCUCUCACCUGCCUCCUUCACCUGAAACCAAUGCCCUGGUCUCUUCAUAGCAUUUUUCCCGGCCCAGCCUUCACCUCCCCACUGCCACAGCUGUCCCGCUGUAUUCUAGAGCUUUCUAGAUUUCCUUUAGUUGCCUUAGUUUUGACAACGCG